rnacentral:rRNA from 1 species
GUCUACGGCCAUACCACCCUGAACACGCCCAAUCUCGUUUGAUCUCGGGCCUGGGUCUAAGCAGGGUCGGGCCAGGUUAGUACUUGGAUGGGAGGAAUGUAGUGCAAAUCCAACCUGAGUCCUAUAGCUU